AUGCAUUUUGUGCGGCGCAUCCAGGAGUCUGAGGUGAAGGAGGCUUUAAAAAGGAUGAAAGGAGGCAAGGCGAUGGGCCCUGAUUGUAUCCCCAUUGAGGUGUGGAAAGGUCUCGGGGACAUAGCGAUAGUAUGGCUAACCAAGCUUUUCAACCUCAUUUUUUGGGCAAACAAGAUGCCAGAAGAAUGGAGACGGAGUAUAUUGGUACCAAUCUUCAAGAACAAGGGGGAUGUUCAGAGUUGUACUAAUUACCGUGGAAUUAAGCUGAUGAGCCAUACAAUGAAGCUAUGGGAGAGAGUCAUUGAGCACCGCUUAAGAAGAAUGACAAGCGUGACCAAAAAUCAGUUUGGUUUCAUGCCUGGGAGGUCGACCAUGGAAGCCAUUUUCUGGGUACGACAACUUAUGGAGAGAUAUAGGGAGCAUAAGAAGGACUUGCAUAUGGUGUUCAUUGAUUUGGAGAAGGCCUAUGAUAAGAUACCGCGGAAUGUCAUGUGGUGGGCCUUGGAGAAACACAAAGUCCCAGCAAAGUACAUUACCCUCAUCAAGGACAUGUACGAUAAUGUUGUGACAAGUGUUCGAACAAGUGAUGUCGACACCGAUGACUUUCCGAUUAAGAUAGGACUGCAUCAGGGGUCAGCUUUGAGCCCUUAUCUUUUUGCGUUGGUGAUGGAUGAGGUCACAAGGGGUAUACAAGGAGAUAUCCCAUGGUGUAUGCUCUUUGCGGAUGAUGUGGUGCUAGUUGACGAUAGUCGGACGGGGGUAAAUAGGAAGUUAGAGUUAUGGAGACAAACCUUGGAAUCGAAAGGGUUUAGGCUUAGUAGAACUAAAACCGAGUACAUGAUGUGCGGUUUCAGUACUACUAGUUGUGAGGAGGAGGAGGUUAGCCUUGAUGGCCAGGUGGUACCUCAGAAGGACACCUUUCGGUAUUUGGGGUCAAUGUUGCAGGAGGAUGGGGGUAUUGAUGAAGAUGUGAACCAUUGA
rnacentral:rRNA from 1 species